CCUACGGGAGACAGCAGUGGGGAAUAUUGCACAAUGGGGGAAACCCUGAUGCAGCGACGCCGCGUGAGUGAAGAAGUAUUUCGGUACGUAAAGCUCUAUCAGCAGGGAAGAAAAUGACGGUACCUGACUAAGAAGCCCCGGCUAACUACGUGCCAGCAGCCGCGGUAAUACGUAAGGGGCAAGCGUUAUCCGGAUUUACUGGGUGUAAAGGGAGCGUAGACGGCAGCGCAAGUCUGGAGUGAAAUCCCAUGGCUUAACCAUGGAACUGCUUUGGAAACUGUGCAGCUAGAGUGCAGGAGAGGUAAGCGGAAUGCCUGGUGUAGCGGUGAAAUGCGUAGAUAUUAGGAGGAACACCAGUGGCGAAGGCGGCUUACUGGACUGUAACUGACGUUGAGGCUCGAAAGCGUGGGGAGCAAACAGGAUUAGAUACCCGAGUAGUC
rnacentral:rRNA from 1 species